rnacentral:lncRNA from 1 species
GCUAAAGAUAUACUGAGAAGCAUUGCACUCACUCCUGUCUUCUCUGUCUCAUUUCCUGUCCCCACAGGCUCUAGAAAAAAAUCAAUACCUCCUAUGUCAAUUCUAUAUCAGCCAAAUUUCAACCAAUAUUGCAAUUAGUAGUUUGUGUAUAUGACAUUUCUUCUUCUAUUGGCAGAAUAUAUUUCAAUAAGUGGAAUUGCUGCACCAAAUAUAAAAUAUGUUUGUCACUUUAUUAAAUACACCAAAAUUGCCCCAGUGGGUCAAAUGAUAAAUGAAUGCACUUGCCAUUUUGUGAAAUAGGUCAAAAAUUGUCCUCUUUAGAUAUUCUCACUGUAAAUGCAUGAAAAUGCCCCUUUUGUACUACAUGGGGAUGAAUUAUGUUGAAACAAAUUUUGUAAAACCAACAGGCAAAAACAUAUGUCAGGAUAGCUCAAAUUUGUAUGCUGUCCCUAUGAAUGAAGCUGGGCAUCUUCUUAGAUCUUGAUUAAGAGUGUUAGGGAGAGUUGAGAGCCAGACUGAUCUGAUUGUCCCAUCCUGUAGCUGAUGCUCACAGGCAAGUAUGUCAGGAAAAUGGUGUGAGAUGACGACUUGUUGAAAUUACAGAGCAAGUAAACAACAGUGCUCAGAGUAAUGCCCCACACAUAGUAGGGUCAGAUUUUUUAAAAUGCCUCUGUAAUCAAGAGGGAAUAUAAAUGCAUCCAGCGGUUUUUAAUUGCUCAGCCUUAGCUCUGACCAGACAUAAAAUAAGAGUGCUGUUCUCAUAAGGUCACUGGGUAAUGCCCAGGCCAACCAGAGGAAGCAGAGACUUUCAAAAGACACUAUCAAAGCCUUUCUAAGACUUGCCUCCAAAGCACGUCUGAUCAUUUAUAAAUGCUUCCUGUUUCCUUCACAGUCAUGUCUGGGCAGCUUCAUUCCUGUUCCUGCCAGCCGAGUCCCAGGGAAUGUCUCAUUUCAGAAGCUGUAAUUUCUUGGUGCUUCCUGAACUGCUAACACUAGAUUUGUUUUCAGUUCCCAGUUCCUCUGCUGAGCACAUUGAAGAGUUCCAGAAAAGAUUUGCUGCUCACAUCAAGCCUGAGCCAUGGUUAAGUCAAGCCUGAGUCAUGUUGAUGCUCAGCUUGUAGUCAGUGGGUGAUCUGAAACACAGCUUUAAUGAGUGUUUAUGGUUCGCUCCUUUAUCUUGGUUUCUCUGAAAACUCUAAGCCAGUCUUCUACUAGUCCCCACGCCAGAACCAAUAGGACAGUUCCUACAUACUUUCUUUAAAGAUCUGUUCAGAGUUUCAUAUUCUCUAAAUUCUUUAUAGUAUUCAAGACAACAUAAAUGGGUGGCUUUGUUAAGAAACCUCUGCAUUUCUGUCCAAGGACUUGUUCAUGUAAGCUAGAUUUUCUGUAUUGCAGGAUGCUGAGAGCUCUGGAAAGCCCAGGUGCCUGGACUCUCUGUAUUCCUUGUUGCCACAAAGCUUCUGCUUCUGCCUUCAAAGUCCUACAAAUACCAGAGAAUGAGUUUAUGACCUGAAGUGUCUGCUAAAUAUUUUAUCGCCAUAGUUUACUGAGCUCUGAGAAAGGGGCAGGGACAGGAUAUCGACAAUAUGGGAAUUCACUAGAUAUCAGAAAGUUUUCUUUCAAUUUUCACUUCUUACUUUUCUCUCUCCAUCUAGAAAUUUUCUAAAAGUUGUGUGUGCAUAUGUAGCAAGAGUCAUGAGAGCAGGUGAUAGAAGAGGCAAGGCGAAAAUGUCAGACUCUCUGAAGCAGGUUCCUUAGGGAACUAUUGAACUCUUCUAUCAAUUGCAGAUGAAAAAGAAAUCAAUUUUGGUCCAAAUGACAAUAACUGUAUCAUCAUUUUAAAGCUUUUAAAACUAUUGAUUCAAUGAUUGCAAGAUUGUUUUUAUCUUUGACUUAGGUUCCUAUAAAAAUGUAAACUACAAAAUGAUAUUUUCCAAUAGUGCAGAUAAGCUCUAGAUAAAUUUGAAUGUUCAAAUAUUGCUGAGUAGUGGCUGUGCAUGCCUUUAUUCCCAGCACUUGGGAGACACAGGUAGGCAGAUUUCUGUGGGUUCAAGGUCAACCUAAACUGCAGGUAGAAUUACAGGCCAGCCAGGGAAACACUACAGUUUGUGAGGGAACAGGAACAACAAACUUGAGAUAAAGCUACUGUGUAUGCCCUUGUAAUGUGCUGCAAAGCAUCGGCUAGUGCUGCUGCCAGUGUGGAAGGCCAUUGCACCCUUAGCAGGGAGUGGGAAUGCCAGAGGGAGCUUCUAAGAGGACGAGUGGCUUAUGCCCAAUACUUGCCAAGCUUGGAAUUGAAUGAGGAUUACUUCAUUUUAUUUAUUCAAGAAAUUAAGUUAUGAUUUACACUUGUGUGUUAUUCUAUCCAAAUACAAUUUCUAGUUCUUUAAAGGUUCAUAUUCAUUCUCUGUCCAGUCAUGCUAUCCUGUAAACAGUAUUCAGUCACAAGAAUGUUUCAAUCUCUAUGCUCUUGCAUUAUUGAACACUCUGAAUAUUCCCCAGGCCUACUCACUCUGAAAACACUUUUCUACCAUAUGCAACUGUCUGAGAAAAUCUACUUGUAUGCAGUAGAUUGCUGUUAUUCAUUAUUCAUUACAACAUUAUUUAGUUGAACAACAUACCAUAGAAAACUUGGUUCUGUUGUGGGAAAUGUACAAACUCGGAGAACUAAAUUAUUUUACUAUAAAUGCUUUAAAAAGAGCAGGCUUUAUGGUCCUCAUUAUUUCCUCUGUGCUGAGGAAACAAGUUUUCUCCAAUGGAAAAUAAGCCAUAAAGGCAGAAGCUAUGUGAUACACUGUAUUCAAUAAAAGUUGGAGGUCUAGAUUCUGCUAGCAACACAGUAAAUGAAUACGAAAAUCUCAUUAAAAGUUUUACAAUUGACAAUCAAUAAGUAUUUAGUGAGUAGCCACUAUGUUCCAAGAACAACUUAAUUUCAAGAAAUACAAAUUUUAUCACCCAUAAAAUGUGGCUGCCCUAUACCCUUGAUUGAUAUUCCUCGACAUGUUGAGGUAAAGGACAUUUUUAACAAGAUAUAACUCUAACCAGUUGCUGUUUCUCUUUGCUACAAGAGGAAGUUCUACAAGAAGAAGGAAGGUUGCUAUAUUUCUUUGGGCAGUAGUAAGUAAUAAUAUUCCCAGUCAAAACUUAUCCAAUAUUAUAAACCAUUAGGUAUAAAAUAUUUUCCACACUUCAACUUCCCCAUGUCUCUUCUGACUUUGAUGUGCAGGAAAAUAACUAUUUUCUUACCAGAGGCUGGUUUGACCUACAGAAAAUUUAUAAAUAUUCUGCCUUGAAAGUUCUAGUUGUACAAAUGACCCCAAAAUAAUAACUCUAUCUUUUUAAAAUAUUUUAUUUGUGUGUGUUUGGGGGGGGGUAAGUGCAUACAUGCUCAUGAGAUCUCCAUGUAGCCUGAGCUUUUGACUCUUGUCCUCUGAGUUAACUGUUUCUGAAGGUCGUCUAAAAAUUUUAAAUUUUGAGUCUGAAACUUCCGGUGAGUAAAUAUGGUUGGGUGUGUGUCAUAGUUAACGGAACGUUUGUCUAGCAUACAGAAGACUGUGGUUUUCAUCAUCAUGGCUUCAAAGCAAGGCAUAUAGAUGCUUUCCCUGAUAUUACCUGAACUAUGCUGAACAUUGUUGUGUGUUAUUGUAUUACAGUUUUGCAAAUUGUUAGCAUUAGAGGAAACUGGGAAUGCAGUAUAACAGACUUCUUUGUAUGACUAAAAAAAUGCAUAUAAAUUUAUAAAUUAUUCUCAAUAGACAGCACAAACAUAGGCAAAUGCUAUGUUUUCUAAUUAGCUUUCCAGUAUGACUGAUGUAUAUCAGAGCAGAGAAAAAUUUGCAAGAUGGGGGAGGUGAGGUGUAGCUCAGUGGUACAGAGCUUGCCCUGCAUGCAUAAGGGUCUAGCUUCAACGUCAGUAUUGAAGAUCAGGGAAGGCCCAAAACAAGUGUAAAACUGAAGUUCAUAUUGAGGUUGAGCUUAAAGUUUACAAACAUAAAGUAGUUGAGAUCAAAAUAAUGAAUGUUGAAAUUCAUUAACUACAGCCAAAUGUGUCUUAGCUUCAUUUGCCUUGGGCAGAUACAUAUUUUAGAAAUGACAGCCAUUUAAAGCAUCUAAAUGAAGUAAAUUUUAAACCAGACUUCAAAUCACUAUUUCCACAAAUGUGAAGCUAACAUUUUCAAACUAAUAAAAUAUAAUGUCAUGGUUUUUAUUAAAAUAUUGUAAAUGAUAAUGUCUCAGUGAUUGUAAAGGCAUUUUGAACUAAAAAAGAAAUAACAUAAGGUUAUGAUUAGUUGCAUAUAAACUUGUGCUGUCAUAACUACAGUCAUUUAUGGGGAAGACAAUAUUCAAGUAUAUUUUUAUUAGAAUGUUGGUAUGUUUUCAUUGACUAGUACAUAAUGGAAAUGUACAGAGUACCUUGGUCUUCAAGAGACAGUGUGACUGACCUGAAAUAAAAGGAAUUUGUUUCCCAGUCUGUGUGUCUGCCCAUUUUAUCCACACAAUUUGCAAACUGCUUUGCAUGGUGCAAGGUCUCACUUGGUCUAACUCUCCUUAUCUUCUCCAUUAUUAUAUCGGAAUAUGUUCUCCUUCCCUUCACCAUCCCCUUGUUUUCAGCAUGCUCACCUUUUACCAUCCCUUUGACAGUGUUCUCCUGUGUCUAUCGAGUAUUGCAAAUGGUGUUGACUUGGUUCUUAUAUUUGUUCUUUAUCACCUUGGACACCUCACAUACUAAGGAUCUCUAUGUAUCAGGCUAUUGUUUGUUGUAAUGCUGCAUACUUAAUGGGAUUACACUCCUCAAAAUGUGCCUAAAUUCAGUUUCCUGGAUUCCUCUAUGGUAUCUAUUACUCUAUAUGGAUCAAAUAUUUUGCCUCUGCUUCUUUCUCAAGGAUGUAAGUUCCUUGACAAAAAUGACAAAGUUGUUAUGUCUGUGUGCCUCUGGAAAUUUGACUGCCUA